rnacentral:rRNA from 1 species
CCGGCGACCGGCGCACGGGUGAGUAACACGUAUGGAACCUGCCCGCAGCAGGGGGAUAAGCGGAAGAAAUUCCGUCUAAUACCGCGUAACGACGUUGGGAGGCAUCUCCCGAUGUUUAAAGAUUUAUCGGCUGCGGAUGGCCAUGCGGCGCAUUAGCUAGUCGGCGGGGUAACGGCCCACCGAGGCGACGAUGCGUAGGGGUUCUGAGAGGAAGGUCCCCCACACUGGUACUGAGACACGGACCAGACUCCUACGGAAGGCAGCAG